CAGCCGCCACGGUAAUACGAAGGGGGCUAGCGUUGUUCGGAAUCACUGGGCGUAAAGGGUGCGUAGGCGGGAUCUUAAGUCAGGGGUGAAAUCCCGAGGCUCAACCUCGGAACUGCCUUUGAUACUGGGGUCCUUGAGUCCGGAAGAGGUGAGUGGAACUGCGAGUGUAGAGGUGAAAUUCGUAGAUAUUCGCAAGAACACCGGUGGCGAAGGCGGCUCACUGGUCCGGAACUGACGCUGAGGCACGACAGCGUGGGGAGCAAACAGGAUUAGAUACCCCGGUAGUCCCUGUCUCUUAUAC
rnacentral:rRNA from 1 species